rnacentral:sRNA from 1 species
CAUCUUGUAAACAUAGUCAUGGUUAUGUAGUGCAUUAUUCUGUUUCGCGGUAAACUAUUUUGUCAACUUAUAGUUCACUCACAAAAAUUUCUAAUACUGUGUAUUAGUGUAUGCAGUACUCUCUGUAAAUGUUGUUGCAGCAAAAAUCACACAAGCUUCUUUGAAUUUAUAAAACAAUCUUUUGAUAUGUGUUUGAAGUUUGUUCAAAGGAUGAUAAAAUUGGGUUUUGUGAUUCCUUUUAUAAAAUGAUAAGCAGUUCUGCAUAAUAUGCAUGUUUUAAUAGUGACAUUACAGAUUUCAUGUUGACAUAUUUUCAUCAUUGAGUCAUUUGUACCUAUGUUGGCAGUGAUGCAUAGGAUAGACUGUUUUUAAAGCUCCUUUAUUCCUUUUUUUUUUGCAUUGCAAUAUUAAUUAGUGGUACACAUUUGUGUACUUAUAGAGCAUUUAGCUGCUGUAAAUUUACAACAUUGUAGACAUUUUUCUUUCACUAUGUAUCUAUGUUAUUGUAUAUUACUGGUAGUCAUUUUUGGUCAGUAUAUAGCUUUGUGUGGCAUAAACUUAGUUAUUGUAUUCGCCUAUCAAUAUUGCAUGCCAGCUAGCAUUAUAAAGUACAUUUUUUUUAAAUACAUGUAAAUUUUCCAAAUUUUAAUUAAAUUGUAUUGCUUCUGUAUCAAAUAUUAGCUAGAUGACUGGUAGCUUUCAGUGUGUACAUGUAUGUUUUUGCAAACUUUUGUAGAGGAUCUUCAACACCCAUUAUGUGCUAAACCUUCAAAAAUUAUGCACUGAAUUGUCAAAUUAGAAGAAAAAAGUGUUGGCAACAUUGUACAUAUAUAUUCAAUAGGGCCAUAAUUGUGUGUUAACUGAACUCGAAAUGGUUUAUUCAAAUGUUAACAUAUUUAAAAAUUUUAUUCCUGUUGAUUUCGCGACUUGAAUCAUACUACAUUUGAAUUCAGAAUCUAUAUUUCUACAUCAUAUCAGAGGUUUGAAAACGCAUUUGGACAACUUUUUUUUCCUGUCAACAACAUUGAUGCUAUGAAGUACAUUUUUUUUUAAUGUUUUUUGGUUUUUUUAUUAUUGUCUUUUUUAAUACAUUAUGGAUUCAAUGUACAGAAAGACAUGAAUGUUGACCUGGUCUUAUUGUAUAAAUAUUUAAACACAGUAGUGUUUAAGCAAAACCUUGUACAAUAAAGACUGUUAUU